GACGAACGCUGGCGGCGUACUUAACACAUGCAAGUCGAGCGGUAAGGCCCUUUCGGGGGUACACGAGCGGCGAACGGGUGAGUAACACGUGGGUGACCUGCCCUUAGCUCUGGGAUAAGCCUGGGAAACUGGGUCUAAUACCGGAUAUGACCUCGCGACGCAUGUUGUGGGGUGGAAAGCCUUGUGCGGCUAGGGAUGGGCCCGCGGCCUAUCAGCUUGUUGGUGGGGUGAUGGCCUACCAAGGCGACGACGGGUAGCCGGCCUGAGAGGGCGACCGGCCACACUGGGACUGAGACACGGCCCAGACUCCUACGGGAGGCAGCAGUGGGGAAUCUUGCGCAAUGGGCGAAAGCCUGACGCAGCGACGCCGCGUGAGGGAUGACGGCCUCGG
rnacentral:rRNA from 1 species